rnacentral:rRNA from 1 species
UACAGAGGUCCCGAGCGUUGUUCGGAUUCAUUGGGCGUAAAGGGCGCGUAGGCGGCCUCCGCAAGUCAGUUGUGAAAUCUCCGAGCUUAACUCGGAAAGGUCAACUGAUACUGCGGGGCUAGAGUGCGGAAGGGGCAACUGGAAUUCUUGGUGUAGCGGUGAAAUGCGUAGAUAUCAAGAGGAACACCUGCGGCGAAGGCGGGUUGCUGGGCCGACACUGACGCUGAGGCGCGAAAGCUAGGGGAGCGAACGGG